GCGGGCGUGGUGUAGGGUGCGCAGCUGCCUUGGUGACUUGAUGCAAAGCCGAGCAGCAGAUCCGGGUUCGAACCCCGGUGCCCGCA